ACCUGAACUCAAACGUGAUUACCCGCUGAACUUAAGCAUAUCAGUAAGCGGAGGA
rnacentral:rRNA from 1 species